UAGAGCACUGUUAUGGCUAGGGGGUCAUCGCGACUUACCAAACCAUUGCAAACUCCGAAUACCGAGACGGACUGUAUGGGAGACACACGGCGGGUGCUAACGUCCGUCGUGAAAAGGGAAACAACCCAGACCCACAGCUAAGGUCCCAAAUUCACUGCUAAGUGGAAAACCAUGUGGAAAGGCACAGACAGCCAGGAGGUUGGCUUAGAAGCAGCCACCCUUUAAAGAAAGCGUAAUAGCUCACUGGUCGAGUCGGUCUGCGGGGAAGAUUUAACGGGGCUAAGCAGUGAACCGAAGCUUGGGGUGUGCAUAUUUAUAUGUACGCGGUAGAGGAGCGUUCCGUAAGCCGUUGAAGGUGGAUUGAGAAGUCUGCUGGAGGUAUCGGAAGUGCGAAUGCUGACAUGAGUAACGAUAAUGCGGGUGAAAAACCCGCACGCCGAAAGCCCAAGGUUUCCUUGCGCAACGUUAAUCGGCGCAGGGUGAGUCGGCCCCUAAGGCGAGGACGAAAGUCGUAGUCGAUGGGAAGCAGGUUAAUAUUCCUGCACCUCGCGUAAGUGCGAUGGAGGGACGGAGAAGGUUAGGUGUACCCGGCGUUGGUUGUCCGGGGGAAAGGCGGUAGGUUUGGAUCUUUGGCAAAUCCGGGAUCCUUUAAGACCGAGCACCGAGACGAGCCUUUAAGGCGAAGUCACUGAUACCACGCUUCCAGGAAAAGCUCCUAAGCUUCAGCUUACGCAGACCGUACCGUAAACCGACACAGGUGGGUAGGAUGAGAAUUCUCAGGCGCUUGAGAGAACUCGGGUGAAGGAACUAGGCAACAUGGCACCGUAACUUCGGGAGAAGGUGCGCCCUUUUUGGUGGCUCAUGCG
rnacentral:rRNA from 1 species